rnacentral:rRNA from 1 species
AACGAACGCUGGCGGCGUGGUUUAGGCAUGCAAGUCGAGCGAGAAAGUCCUCCGGGACGAGUACAGCGGCGAAAGGGUGAGUAAUAUAUAGGUAACCUACCUCUUGGACUCGGAUAAUUCCUGGAAACGGGUUGUAAUACGAGAUCGUCCUAUUGGGUCGCAUGGCCCGACUGGUAAAUGGUAGCUCUGCUUCUGCCGAGAGAGGGGCCUAUAUUCUAUUAGCUAGUUGGUGAGGUAAUGGCUCACCAAGGCUUUGAUGGGUAGCCGGACUGAGAGGUUGGCCGGUCACACUGGGACUGAGACACUGCCCAGACUCCUACGGGAGGCUGCAGUCGAGAAUCUUCCGCAAUGGGCGAAAGCCUGACGGGGCGACGCCGCGUGAACGAAGAAGGCCUCGG